GACGAACGCUGGCGGCGUGCUUAACACAUGCAAGUCGAACGGAAAGGCCCUGCUUGCAGGGUACUCGAGUGGCGAACGGGUGAGUAACACGUGGGUGAUCUGCCCUGCACUUCGGGAUAAGCCUGGGAAACUGGGUCUAAUACCGGAUAGGAGCCAUUUUUAGUGUGAUGGUUGGAAAGUUUUUUCGGUGUAGGAUGAGCUCGCGGCCUAUCAGCUUGUUGGUGGGGUAAUGGCCUACCAAGGCGGCGACGGGUAGCCGGCCUGAGAGGGUGGACGGCCACAUUGGGACUGAGAUGCGGCCCAGACUCCUACGGGAGGCAGCAGUGGGGAAUAUUGCACAAUGGGCGCAAGCCUGAUGCAGCGACGCCGCGUGGGGGAUGACGGCCUUCGGGUUGUAAACUCCGUUCGCUAGGGACGAAGCUUUUUGUGACGGUACCUAGAGAAGAAGCACCGGCUAACUACGUG
rnacentral:rRNA from 1 species